rnacentral:rRNA from 1 species
UGGAUCCAGACUUUGAUCAUGGCUCAGGAUGAACGCUAGCUACAGGCUUAACACAUGCAAGUCGAGGGGAAACGACAUCGAAAGCUUGCUUUUGAUGGGCGUCGACCGGCGCACGGGUGAGUAACGCGUAUCCAACCUGCCCACCACUUGGGGAUAACCUUGCGAAAGUAAGACUAAUACCCAAUGAUAUCUCUAGAAGGCAUCAGAAAGAGAUUAAAGAUUUAUCGGUGAUGGAUGGGGAUGCGUCUGAUUAGCUUGUUGGCGGGGUAACGGCCCACCAAGGCGACGAUCAGUAGGGGUUCUGAGAGGAAGGUCCCCCACAUUGGAACUGAGACACGGUCCAAACUCCUACGGGAGGCAGCAGUGAGGAAUAUUGGUCAAUGGGCGAGAGCCUGAACCAGCCAAGUAGCGUGCAGGACGACGGCCCUAUGGGUUGUAAACUGCUUUUAUAAGGGAAUAAAGUGAGUCUCGUGAGACUUUUUGCAUGUACCUUAUGAAUAAGGACCGGCUAAUUCCGUGCCAGCAGCCGCGGUAAUACGGAAGGUCCGGGCGUUAUCCGGAUUUAUUGGGUUUAAAGGGAGCGUAGGCCGGAGAUUAAGCGUGUUGUGAAAUGUAGGGGCUCAACCUCUGCACUGCAGCGCGAACUGGUCUUCUUGAGUACGCACAACGUGGGCGGAAUUCGUGGUGUAGCGGUGAAAUGCUUAGAUAUCACGAAGAACUCCGAUUGCGAAGGCAGCUCACGGGAGCGCAACUGACGCUGAAGCUCGAAAGUGCGGGUAUCGAACAGGAUUAGAUACCCUGGUAGUCCGCACGGUAAACGAUGGAUGCCCGCUGUUGGCCUGAAUAGGUCAGCGGCCAAGCGAAAGCAUUAAGCAUCCCACCUGGGGAGUACGCCGGCAACGGUGCAACUCAAAGGAAUUGACGGA